GUGUGCACAUACCCUCAGAAGGUGUUAAGAUUCUGGUUUCCGCAGCAGGUCCAGUGGCUCCUGCUGAUUUGGCCAUGAUGAUGAUGUGGUAGCUUGUGAACGGAGUCAGUCCAGUGUAAACAAUUGUCUGCUCACUGCAGGCUACCUGCAGGGCCGUGGAGUUGGACGACGUAGCUAAAACGUCCUGUGAUGAUGGUUGGUGACUCCCAGGACAGAGAGAAAGAUUUUGAGGUUACCUCCAUUUAUGUCACAGGGACCAGAGGAACAGCGCAAUAGGAAACAUCCAUGCAGUGUGUGUGUGUAUGUGUGUUUGUGUGUAUGAGUGUGUGUGUCUAUGUGUAUGUGUGUCUAUGUAUGUGUGUGUGUAUGUGUGUCUAUAUUUGUAUGUUUUUAUGUGUGUGUGUCUAU